rnacentral:lncRNA from 1 species
CCAAGAAAGCAAGCCCAGCAACAGCAGGCCCCAACCACUGGCAGCCCAAGGGUAGCCCAACACCCAGAAUGCUACCAGAUCCUGGGAGCCCAAGGCCAACCAGAAACACUCGCCUCCGAGCAGAGCUCAGGGCCACUGAGGAACAUCCCAGUCCCUUUGGAAUCCCCUACUCCAAAUUGUCCCAAUCGAAGCACCUAAAGGCCAGGGCAGGUGGCAGCCAGUGGGUCCCAUCCGACUCUAAGCGCAGGGCCCGAGACCACAAGGAACCCUAGCAGCCAAGAUGGACCCCAACCCCGCUCCAGGGGGCAGCAGGUGGGGGCGGGCAAUGCUGGUGCUCACCUGGUCAGUGCACCAGUACCAGGUGGCCAUGAUGGUCAGACCGAAGGUCAUCCCAGUCCAUGGGAGGUCUCCUGUGGAGGGGUCCCGGAACAUAUGCAUGGCGUCUGCUCGAGGCAGGUGGCAGGUGGUGUUGGGGAUGGUCCUGGACGGGGUGGCCUGGGCAUAUGCCGCCUCCAGCUGCUCAUAGCCACCAAUCUGGUUGAAAGCUGGAGGGUUGGGUACAGGGUUGGUUUUGGGUGGCCCUGACUCCCAGGCUCCUCCCAUCCUCACCUCACAGAUAACUUCAUGCAUCAAACUGGAACCCCUACCUCAUCUUUCCUGCUCCAGGGAGGGUUGAGGUUAUAAAAAAGAAAGAAAGUGAAAUAGAGUAUUUUAUUUGUAUUUAAAAUAACUAUUAAAUGAGCAUUUUGCACAUGGGCCCACAGUGUCCUGUUGGCCAGCAGGAUUCAUGGCUAGUCUCUGGAAGCCUGCUGGCCUCGGGUAUGGGGUUCUCUGCCAGUCUUUGGACUGGCCCUUCAAGGAGGUAGAAGUGGUUUUCUUGUGUUUGAGCAUUGAAUCCAUGACCUGGACUUCUGAAGGCUGUGACUUCACUAUCCUCACGUUGGCAUUCACGAGGCAUUGUGGUCCCAUCCUUCCAAGACACAGGAAGGAAGGCAGAGGCUCCUCAGAGCCUUACGGCAGGCCUAGCAGGUAGGGCUCAGACCAGGGGUCUUUCCUCUGAGUCCAGAACGUGUCCUAUCUACCUCAGGGUUGGGUGGUGCGAGGCCCAGCCCUGGCCUGGCUGUGUCUGUAGUCAUUGCCCUCUCAUCCAGCCUGUGUCUGACCAUUAGGUCCCUUCAUCUCUAGUAGGCCCUAGACACACAGGAGUUGCUACCCAGG